UCACUUUCGAGGAGUCCCACAAUAGGACGAAACGGCCGUCCAGUGC
rnacentral:hammerhead_ribozyme from 1 species